CCAACGGCCCUCUUUAGGGCCACAAAUUUCUCAGGAAAUCCAGAAGU
rfam:Caenorhabditis japonica strain DF5081 Contig18089.7, whole genome shotgun sequence.